UGCAAGUCGAGCGAACUGAUUAGAAGCUUGCUUCUAUGACGUUAGCGGCGGACGGGUGAGUAACACGUGGGCAACCUGCCUGUAAGACUGGGAUAACUUCGGGAAACCGAAGCUAAUACCGGAUAGGAUCUUCUCCUUCAUGGGAGAUGAUUGAAAGAUGGUUUCGGCUAUCACUUACAGAUGGGCCCGCGGUGCAUUAGCUAGUUGGUGAGGUAACGGCUCACCAAGGCAACGAUGCAUAGCCGACCUGAGAGGGUGAUCGGCCACACUGGGACUGAGACACGGCCCAGACUCCUACGGGAGGCAGCAGUAGGGAAUCUUCCGCAAUGGACGAAAGUCUGACGGAGCAACGCCGCGUGAGUGAUGAAGGCUUUCGGGUCGUAAAACUCUGUUGUUAGGGAAGAACAAGUACGAGAGUAACUGCUCGUACCUUGACGGUACCUAACCAGAAAGCCACGGCUAACUACGUGCCAGCAGCCGCGGUAAUACGUAGGUGGCAAGCGUUAUCCGGAAUUAUUGGGCGUAAAGCGCGCGCAGGCGGUUUCUUAAGUCUGAUGUGAAAGCCCACGGCUCAACCGUGGAGGGUCAUUGGAAACUGGGGAACUUGAGUGCAGAAGAGAAAAGCGGAAUUCCACGUGUAGCGGUGAAAUG
rnacentral:rRNA from 2 species